GUCCAGUUGGAAAAGUUUAUUUUUUAUUUUUAUUUUUUUUUUAAGAUUUUAUUUUUUUCCUUUUUCUCCCCAAAGCCCCCCGGUACAUAGUUGUGUAUUCUUCGCUGUGGGUUCUUCUAGUUGUGGCAUGUGGGACGCUGCCUCAGCGUGGUCUGAUGAGCAGUGCCAUGUCCGCGCCCAGGAUUCGAACUAACGAAACACUGGGCCGCCUGCAGCGGAGCGCGCGAACUUAACCACUCGGCCACAGGGCCAGCCCCCAGUUGGAAAAGUUUAUUUUGUUUUAUGAAAACUUUAUUUUUCUUAUUCUGCUGCUAAUUAUUUUGAACCACAGGGGGACCAGAAAUGCUUCUCUUUCCCAUCACUAUGUUUCUGCCUCUCAGAUCAAGAGAGAUGAGCCCAAAAUGGAGCACGAGGCUCCUGAGCUGGCACGGGAAGGUCACGGGUGAGCGGGGAAGCGAUAGUUAUCAGAGUCAUGCAAGACACGAUAAUCCGGGUUUAUGAUCGCAUUGGACCUUUGCUUUUCUCUGUGAUGGGCCAUCAAUAAAUGCUCCCCACACCUCUGCCCGUUCUCCAUCGAGGUCCAGAUUUCCUGUCUGCAGGACUUCCACAGAGUUUCACCAGUUCAGAAUCCAUGCCAUUACCGGAUGGGCAUUUUAGUAGCUUUUCGGCAGAAGACAUCCCUGCUAAUUUGCGAAUUCAUUUGGAUGCUCUCUGCCAGCCGCUGGCCGUCCGUGGACCGUUUUCAGCUGAGUUUCGUCUGGCCAGACACGACGUCUCGGUGCUGCUUUUAGUUCUGUUAAGUCCUUCCGAGAGAGGGAGGGUUCCGGAGGGACUGACCGCCCAGCUCCCACUCUCAAAGAAGGCAGGUUGCAAGUUUAAUGAUGCUUUUGAACCACUUGAUCUAAAAUUUUUCAUGAGAGAUUAAAAAAAAAAAAGGCUUUUGUUCUUAUAAAGUUUCGUUGUCUCAGAUUAUCAGUUUGUGCUCGUGGACUAAAAUCCGCUAAAUUCAAUAUAUAAUCAGCACACAUAUUUUAGCACUUUUAUCCUGGGCUAGGUUCUCAGAGGGAUUCUCAGAAGAGAAAUUUUAGUCCUGGUUCUCAGGGACUAGGCAGCCUGUUUGGAGAUUCAGGCCAUCUAUUUUAAAAAAAACAACAAUAACUUGUCAUAAAAUAAUACGAGGUGGUAUAGAUGGAAAAGGCAGGGCCUACUGUGUACUUACCACUGUCCUUAGACUAUAAAUGUAUUAGCUUUUUUACUCUUCAACUCUGUGGGGUAUAUAUUAUUAUUAUUGUUUAAAUGUGAGGAAACGGAGGCACAGAGAGGUUAACACACUUGCCCAGCGUCACACAGCUAGUCUGUGGCAGGAGUGGAGUUUAUAGGCUUUGAAGAAGAGGUCAUUUGGGGUAAUUUUCAUAAAAGCAUUUAAGGCAAAGAAGUACUAUAGCCAUUUUUAUAGGUCAUAAAUUGAGGCUCAGGGAAGCUGAGUAGCUUGCCCAGAGUCACGGAGUUUAUAAGUGGCAGAUCCAAGGUUCAAAUCCAGGUCUGCCUGAUUCUACAUUCUGUUCAACGACCCUGUGCCUGCUGCCUCUGUUAGGCAAACCUACAGCUUCUUUCUCUGGCUAAGGAGCUUUUUAGAAAAAUACAUUCUCUCUCCCUCUCUCACACACACACACCCCUAGCUACCAGCAGCUCCAUUUACUCUAGCUAGGAGUGUUGUCACAAAGGGACCAGUAGGUGUAGCCUCCGCCUAGCCCCUCUAUCAGAGCUGGAGUGACCAGGGGACCAGAGAGUGUCAUCAUGGCAGACACCUGGCCCAGGCUGCCACCAGGAAUGUGUCCGGGGCAUUUUCUGAGGGCCACUGUCUCCGCACCCUUCUUGAAGGGAAGGUCUGGCCCCUUCACUUCCCACCAGAGCACAGACCAAGAGCUCCAAAGUGAACCCGGCUGACCCUUGCUGAGGACUCAGCGCAGGGAGUGCCCAGUGGACGUGCUGGUGGCCAGAAGGGGCUGCUGGUAUUGUCAAGAAGGCCACUGUUCCAUUCUUACCUUGCCACCUGGGGGCCGGUCAAGAGAGGGCAGAACAGGUGGAGAUGAUCAUGUCCCUCUGCUUGUCUGGCAGCCCUACACUGCUAGGAUGGGGGCCCCAUCCCCCUCGGGGGCCCCAGGGCCUUCCUGCUCAUCCGGCUCCAAUCACGCAGGCUCUGCCUUGUCUCUACCGCAGCUCUACUGCCCUUCUUUGAGUUAAGUGAACCCAUAACCUCCGUCUUCUAGGAGGAUCUUUGCAUCUGCUGUUACCUCUGCUAGAACAGAGAAAACGAUUCUUUUCACUCUCAGUUGCCCCAGCCUCAGAGGAGCCUCAUGACCUGCUCGCUCCUGUCCGUCUGUUAGAGCAUAGAUGACGAUUUCUCCUCUCCCUUCUCCUCCCUUGCCUUCUUUCCUUCCUCACCCCGUUGUGUCCCUAUUGCCUUCCACAAUGUUUGUACACGGAGGUCCUGAUGCACAUUUAUUGAUGAAAGGAAGGAAGAAUGAAUGAUGCGUGCCCCAUGGGGCCUGGCACGCACCGUGAGAAGUCGACAGCCCAUCCCUGGUACCCCUCACUCAGUCUACGAUGAGAGGCAGCUUUGCCCGGCAGGGUGCAGGCAGCCUAGUGAUUACCCCCAUGCAGCCACCACCCUGUCCCGGGGAAGGGAUAUGCCGUGAGCCAGCUCCAUGCUUCACUGCUGCGUGGAAUUGGGCACAGAAAGUCUGCUGACAGUGGGAAGGGGCAAGUGGUGAUCUGGGUGAUGGACUGGAGACUUCCCCGUCAGACUGUGCUCCCUUUAUCAAGCAGGAAGCUGGCAGGCUGUGUUUUAAUCAAUUGAUAGCAUCACUUGGCAUCCAGCAGCCGGCUCAGGUUUUGCAAAAGACCAGGUCGCUGAUUUUCCCAUCUCUCUCGCCUCCCAGAGAUUUCAGGUUGGGGGCAGAGAGUGGCUGUGAGGCUCCUCCUGGAACAUUGGCCAGGGGCCCGAGCUCCGCAUGCCACACUUCCCCUGCAGAAGGAAAUGAACCCCCAGAUAGAGGGGGAAAAAAGAGAAGAAGGCAAGUGCCAAGAAGGUUCUGAGGGAAAUGAAACUGUCAUAUGACUUUGGUCUCCCCUUAUUGGGAGGAGGGGCUGUUAGCAACCAGGAUGGGUCCAGCUCAAAACUGAAGUCAGUCGAGUCUCUUUAAUAAGAACCUUGUCCCUUUGCCCAGCCCUCUGCAGUUGUAAGCACUUGCCACAGCUCCUUUUCUCUUCAUGGCCCUCCACAGACCUGAUCCCUUGAGCCAGCAGUCUCUGCUGUCAUAGUCCGUCCUUUGUCUUCAGUCAUUCCCAGCUCCAGGCUGACCUCCAGUCUUGUGUUAGAAUAAUUUUCCCAAAGUCUGAGCAGGUCACACCCUCCUUCAAUGGUGGCACCUUCUUAUGACGGUACCUCCUGCUCAGAUGGGUGCUUCUCAAGGUGCACCCAUCCUAGUGCCAGGGUUGACAUUGGGGCUGACAGGUAGAAGAAAUUCAGAACACAUUUAAGAAUAAAUGGAUAGAUGGAUGGAUGGAUUGACAAAGUGAUGGAUGGAUGGAUGGAUGGAUAGGUGAAUGGACAAACUGAUGGAUAGAUGGAUGGAUGGAUGGAUGCAUGGAUGGAUGCAUGGAUGGGAUUGUUAGGGGCAGGAAGAAAUAAAGAGAUCUGAGGGGUGUGCUGAGAUGAGGCAGAAAUCAUGGUGGUCAACAGCCAGACUAGAGUCGACUGGCAGAGUUUUGUCCAGGUAACUCUGGGCAAAUCAUUUACUCCAAGGCCAGCUUUUCUUAUCUGAAAAACGGGGUUGGUAGCAGUGCCUCCUUCAGAGGGUAAUUGUGAGGAAUAAAUGAGAUAAAUCCUGGAACGUGCUUGGUGCCAGACCUGGGAUGUAGGAAGUGCUCAGGACCUGGAAAUGAUGUUCCUGAUGGUGAGGAAGAGGGGAGGAGGAGGCAGGGGGAGGUGGAAUAGAUCACGGAGAAGAGCAUAUGUGUGGGGUCUACAUGGCUUCAGUGUCCUCAUAGAUCCUCCCCCGCCUCUGUGUCUAUGCUCAGGGACCCCAAAAGUGCCCUCUUUCUUCUGUGCUUGCCUUUGGAGCUCUUACCUGGUUCAUCCCCACAACCCUACCACUUCAUGUUGCCUUAUCUUGUCAAGACCCUAAAUCUCCCCAGGUGGGAUCUUGCUACCAAUAUGGUACCUUGCAUUUGACAUUACUCAUCUUGUUUAUUGGUCAGGGUAGGCUAAUAGCUGUAAAAAAAAAAAAAAAAAAACCAACACAAAAACCAUACAAUAUUCAUGAAGACAACAUUCAACAUUUUAUGAGACAAAUUCAAUAAGAGUAUUCCUGAUUGGGUGGAUCUCCUCAAGGCAGCGGUUCAGGCACUCCAGGGUGUGACUCUACCAUUUUCCUAGAUCCCUAUCCUCCUCACUUUUUUGCUAGCAGAUGGAGAAAGAGAAGGAACAAGACCAAGAGGGAAACGUUUAUGGACCAGGCUGCUAAUGGCAUCAUUUACCUCAGCCACAUUCUAUUGGCCAGAACCAAGUCACAUGACCCUAUCUUUCCUGACAGGGAUGCUGGGAAAUGUAGUCUAGCUGUUUUCUGAGAAAGAAAAGGGAGUGGGAGUUUGGGAAAACCUAGUAGCCUCUGCUCAACCCGCCUUCCAUGGCCACUCUUGGCUGAAACACGCCUUUGGUUCAUGGGAUGCUGACCUCACACCUCACAGCCAGCCCUGUCCAAUUCUAGCUUUGUCCCUGUCCCCUGAGAUGCCAUCCCAUACAGAACUACACUCCCCAGUCCUCCUAUGCUCUCCCCAUAGAGAAAUCUGACAGGACAUCUGGAUGCCAGGUACAACACAGAGCACAUCACCUGGCUUUGGACAGUUUUUCUCCUGUGUCAUGAUGUCCACACUCUUGACCCAUGCCCUGGCAAAGGAACCUUCUCCCCGUUCCCUGCUUGUCCCAAUCUAGGUCAUACCAGUUUGUGCUUGGAGUUAGCUGGGGUUUUUUUUUAUUUUAAAAUCCAAACCAAUUAAAAAUGUAUUUUGUAAAGGAGUGAAAAAAAAUGUCUUUCACCUCAGCUGAGAAUUCCGCCUGCCCAAUUUCACCUGGAAAAGAAUUGAAACCGACAACAUGUUACUAAUUGGGGAAUUUGAGCGGUCCCUCAUGUGUGGCUUGGGUUUCCAGCAUCCUCGCUCCAGCGUGUAGAUAUUCACAAGUUUACCGUAUCAGAAAUACAGGUUCUGAGAGGUGGUGCCUCAGACAGACCAAGCAAGGCUGUCAAGGUAUAUUUGGGGACACGCCAAGGAUUCUAUUAAUCUUAUACCCUACAGCUUGACUCAAGGGAGAAUUAGUAUUUGCUGCCAUGGCAUCCUCCAAUUGUAGGGACGUUAGUGACCUUUCUCACCAACAGCCAGGUCUCCGAAUCACUUUGCCUAUCAAAAACCCGUGGGAAGUAGUGUAGGACUGUGGGCAUUUGAGCCUUAAAGACUCGGUUCCAAUCCCAGCACCAUCAUUAAUUAGCCUUGUGAUUGGAGCCAACUGACAAUUCCUCUGACCAUCAGUUUUCUCGUCUCUAAAAUUGGGUCAACAAUGCCAACAGACAACAGAAUUAAAUCCUUGCUAUAAAAGACCAGCACAGACCUUAGCAUGGAGCAGUCUCUCCUUCCUUUCUUUCCUGUGAAGGAAAUACCAAAUCUGGCCUAGGGUUCAGUGUAAAGUGAGUUUUCAAACGCUCGGUGCCGCAGUCUGCACAAGCGCUUGCUUCGCUCUCAGAUUCGGGUGAGCUGGCUGGGCUCUAUGGAAAGAGAGGACGAUUCUCGCUCUCAGCGGGGAGCUGAUCCCUUGCAAGUGCAGUUACCAAAGCCUCUAAUGAUGGAAUUCUCCCUGGCAAAUUCUAUUCAAGGAUGGAACCGCGGAAAGGCACUGGAGUGGCAGGGCAGGUCUUCAAAUGGACACUUAUUCAACCAUUUGAAAUAAGCCAUUCACUGGUGCCUGCAAAACAUAUCCAGCAAAACAGCUAUGGUUCUUGAUUUUAUGGAGUCCUCAUGGGCAUAGUAGGGUGAUAUGUUGGGAAAGAGCACAGGUGUGCUGUGAUGGUACUCUAGGCGGGUACAUGGGUACUCUAGAAUGGUAUCUAGGUAUCUUGAGAUGGAAUACUGGGAUAGUACACUGGUAUACUGGAUGGAACAUAGGUACAUUGGGAUUGUGCAGUCAGAUGGUACACUGAGAGAUGAAACUGGUACAUGGGGAUGGUACAUAUGCAUGCUGGGAUGGUACACAGAGAUGGUAUACAGGGAUGCUGGUAGGUAUAGAGAGAUGGUACAAGGAGAUGGCACAUGGGUACACUAGGAUGAUACACUGGUAUGCUGGAUGGAACGCUGAGAUGUGAAACUGGUACACUGGAUGGUAUGCAUGCAUGCUGGGAUGAGACACAGAGGUGGUACACUAGGAUGGACCACUGGGAUGGUACACAGGCAUGCUGGGAGGUAUACAUGGAUGGUACAUGGAGAUGGUACCCAGAGAUGGCACAUAGGUAUGCUGGGAUGGCACAUAGGAAUGCUACACAAUUAUGGUGGGAUGGUACACCACAAGAUUCUGUACAUAGAGAAGCUAAAUGCACUCUGGAAAGGGCCCCACUAUCGCCACAUCUAAAACUCCUCACACUGAUUGUCGUUGUGGCCAACGAUGUUGGUUUUGUGCUUCUCGGAUGGAACCCCGUAGCUGUGUACAGCGCAGCCUUUGGAAACAGCCUGGUUUCAAAUUCUGGCCCCACGACUCUUGGUCGUGUGACCUCGGGCAGGUUCCGAAGCUUCCUAGGCUUUGCUCAUUCUCUCAUCUGUAAAAUAGAGAAAUAAAAACCUGCUUCACAGGCUGGGAAGUUUUCAUGCACAGAAUUUGAAAUUUGAGCUUUACCACUCAGGAAGUCUGAGGUCUCGGGCAAGUGAUUCUCGAAGCUUUAGUCUUCUUAUCUAUAAAUGAGGGUCAAAAAUGCCUGGCUCUGAGUAUUUGCUCAUUUUUUGAAUAAGCUACUUCAUUCCACAAUGAACUUCAGGCGGGCUGUAAAAACUCACACAACAAAUGCAAUGCAAAUAAAUAGAGAGUUCAAUGUGACGGGAAAACCAGGGUUGAACAAGAAAAUAAAUCCACUUGUAAGAAUAUUAAAGAGCCAAGUACCCAUAAAGCAAUGGCCAUGGUUGGCACUUGGUAGGAAUUUGGGAAUAAUUGAUUCCCCCCCUUUGCGUGAACACAAGGUUUUCAAGAUGGAUUUCUUAUGCUGGAAGAGAAUAGGUGGCAAGUGACAUUUUCUACCAAGAGAGCCAGGCUCACAAAAGCUGGGCUCUUUCGUGUUGUGCAUAGCCCACAAGGCUGGUCCUGGCCUGCUUGGUGACAGAACAACCACUUGGGGUUUCGGGUCCAGCAAAUCACAUCUGGAAUUUCAUGUGUAUCCAUCCCUAAGCCCAUGCUCCCUAAGUCCUGUGACUCUUGACAUGGCAUCUUUCAGCUGCAGUGCACAGCAGAGGCCCAUGUGGUCAUUAAAAUGAUCCUGUGGCACCUUUUCCCCAAGAAGAGGAGCGUCGUUGACAGCUCUGGCCAUGGCCAAGUUCAAAUUAAAGUAAUUACCUCAGUUCUGUCUCUGGAUCCUUUCAACCUUUGCUAGUGUGCUUGUCCCCUUCUUGCCCUGCAGUGCUCUGGGGACUUCUGUUGGCCUUGUCAGAAAUGCUUGAUGUCCUUGAGGUGGGGAUCAUCAACUGUGACAGGUGUGGGUUGCACUUGACCUUUUGGAGCAGGAAGCCCAGCAAAGACCUUCAAGGUGGCCAUGGACAGGAACGUGAAUCUCUAUGGCAGGUCUCCUCAGCCCCACACACGUGAGCACUUAUGGGAAAUCACAGUUUUAAAAAAUUCCACUGAUGCAGACACCAAGGCACAGAGAUGACAGGCUGCGUCGCCUAAGGUUAGACAGGAAAUCCGUGACAGGAGCCCUCUGCCAUGUGACUCCAAAUCCACUCACUCACUGUCAUCUCGUCAUCCUCACCACAGUGGUAUCCAUCCUUUCACCUAACACUGUCACACACCUUGAACAUUCAAAUCCUCCUGUUUCACGCUCACAGUAGCCAAGGAGAGAAUCCUCUCGUCCCUCUCAUUUUGAAGAUGAAGAAACUGAGGGUCAGAGAGGACAAGGAAAUUUGCCAAGACCACCAUGCGACAAAGGAGUAGAGUUGGGACGUAAAUCUAUGUCCUUGUUUUUAAGCACUUCUCUUUACUGUCUCAGAUGUCUGUGCACACUUUAUUUAGUUGUUUUCUUUUAACUUUUUAGUGCAGAAAGUUUCGAACAUAUACGAAGUAAACAGGACGGUGUUGUAUUAGUUGCCUAUUGCUGAGCAACAAGUCAUCGCAAACUUAGCAGCUUAUAACAACUCCCAUUUAUCAUCUCAGUUUCCAUGCGUCAGGAGACUGGGUGUGGGUCACCUGGGUCUCCUGCUCAGGGUCUCACAGGCUGCAUGCAGUCAAGGGGGUCUCGUGUGAAGUUAGAGGUCCUUUUCCAAGUUCACGUGGUUGUUGGCAGAAUUCAUUUCCUUCCAGUUGUAGAACUCAUGGAGGCUUGUUUCUUCAAGACCAGAAAGAGGGAGUCUCUGCUGCUUUGAGUCUCUGAGCUCAGGGAAGGUCUAAAUCCUCUUCCAAAGGCUCACCUGAUUAGGUCUGGCCCACCUGGGAUAAUCUCUGUCUUGAUUAACUCAGACUGAUUAGGGACCUUAACUACAUCUGCAAAAUCCCUUUGUCUUUGCCACAUAGUAUAACAUAAUCACAGGAAUGACAUCCCAUCAUACUCGCAGGUCCCACCUCCACUCAACGGGAGGGGAUUAUACGAAGGCGUGGGUCAUUGGGGGUUAUCUUGGAGCUCUGCCUGUGAUAAGUAUAACCCCUAUGUACUCAUCAUGCAGAUUGAAUAAUGACUAACAUUCUGCCAUUCUUCUUCCAGUCCCUACCCCCACUUAAUCCUAAAUUGUUCUUACAGCGUUUUAGGUAAAACUCAUCAACAUUGAAAUGCACAAAUCUUAGCUGUACAGUUUUGACAAACGGGUGCACCCCACAUAACCCACACCCUGACGACAACUUAGAAUACUUGUGUCUUCCAGAAAGUUCCUUCCUAGUCAGAUACACUUAGGUAUAUCUUUUACUUUGUAAAAAAGCUAAUACUUAUAAGGCAUACCUAAUAUCCUAGCCAACAGAAUGUAGGCAAUCGGUAAAUGUUAGCUUCCUUCCAAUUCUUCUAACUACAAGUCUGAGAUUUUUAUGAGAUGAAGACCAUCGUCAGCUCUGCUCCCGGCACAGUGUCUGGAAAGCAUGGCAGGUGCCUUGAUCUCCGUUGACUUAGUCUGCACAGUUCUAAUUACUAGGGCACAUGUUAGACUUAGACCAGGGCCAUCGCACCCCUUUGCUUUCAGAUUCUCCUGAUACAGUGACGUGCUCUGACCACAUCUCAGGCUGGGGGUGGGGAGGAAUCUUACCCUUGGUUUCCCGGUAUUGAGUGGACCUUUCUUGCCUCUACAAGGCAGGUCUGGGACAGGGCUGUGCUCAGGGCUCUCCUCCUUCUCCAGCAAAAAAAAAAAAAAAUCAAGACCAAGAGAUAGUGUGGCAUCUAGAGAAAAAAAGGGAUGUGGAAUCGGACAGACUGCAGCUCUGCAACUGGGGCCUAUUGAUGUUAACAUCAGAGCCUCUCUCUCCACGUCUCCCAGCUCAGCCUCAUCUGACUUUUAUGGAUCAAAAGCAAACCCAGCAGUGCUUGUCUGAAAGCGCUGAGAAGACUUGGUUCCUCCCCUGGCCUGUGAGUUCAGCACUCCCCUUCGCUGGUUUGUCUGUCUGUCCAGCCAGCCCCUCUCUCCACCAUCUCUCACACCUAAUGUGUAUGAGGGAUAGAAACACGUGGAUUCAUCAGACAUAAUCUAGGCCCUUGUGGGGCAGAUCAGCAUUUUUAUAAACACCAAUAGUAUAAACCAGGCGGGUCAUUUCUCCCACAGAAGUAAACAACAAAAUGCAUUAAGGUUUCCAGUGGGAUUAUUUUCUUCUGCACCAUCUGGAAAGAUCUGGAUGAGGGGGUAGGCACUGAUCUCUAACUUAAAGACUACAGAUGAUUCUAGCCCAUCCCGCCCCCACUUCAUUCCUUCUUCUCCUGUUUCCUCCCGUCUCCUGCCUCUCUCUUUCAAGGAGGUCCUCUGUCUGUCUUCUUCUCUCCUCUUCCCUUCUUCUUGCUCCCUCUGCCUCUCUGGACAGACAUCGGAAUGCUCGUCUCUGCUAAAUACACCUCUCUCAACGCUUUAUAAACCAUGACCCCCAUCCCCUGGGCCUGGAGACGUUAUGAGAAGAACCCCACCAAGAGCAAAAUUGGUGAUUUCUCAUUUAAUUUUUUCAAAGAUUUGAUUUUUUUUUAAAUUGAAAACUCAAAAAUGCCAAUAAAACCCUUGCCCGGAUCAGCUGUGUCUUUAAGUGUAAAAUCCAUUUUAGACAGCAUAGCUCGCGAUAUAGUUAAGUACUUAUUUUUAUUGUCUGUCUGGGCAUGGUUUUUAACUGCAGGUGGAGAACUGAUCAAUAAUGUCAUAAAGACACACUCACCCUGUGCCCUUUCCCUAAGGGGAGCGACUCAGGUCCCUGUGCACCGGAUUGCCCAGGCUGUGCCAGGCCUGGGGCUGCAAUUCUCUCUCCUUGCUGUUUUUGUCUGACUUUGUUUGGCAAAGGCUAUGAGACUUCUUCUUACGGUUCCCCCAAACUCUUUGCAAAGGGGAACAUCGCUGGCCAUUUGCACCAGAGCAAGAGCACCUAUGAGAGGAUGUGAUUGUGUCCUUCCGGUCAUGAGAGGCCUGGUGGUGUCUUCCUCUCUCCAGCACUCACUCCAGAUGGUGAGGAGGUGUGAAGUGCACGGAACAGUCAUUGCCGUGUUAGAUGUCCUCGUUACCCCCUUGGAUUCCGGCAUCCUGGGACGGCUCCUGUGUUCAUCAUUUCGUUGGCUUGUAGACUCAGGGCUUGCAAAGACAAGUGAGGACUCCUUCCCCCUCCUGAGAGGAAAGUUCCAGAGAGGAAAGGAUGGUUCAUAGGUGGCUUGCUCUCAGGAUGAGCCAGUGUGGUGCACUCUGAGCGAGGGGUGUGGAUAACAAGACGGGACUGAAGGGGUCCAGACCUGCCUUUAUCACUGAGUGUGAGCCUCCGGUUCUCAUUUGAAUUUGGAUAAAGGAAAAGAAAGAAAGAGGGUCUAGUUGCAAUGCAGAGGAGAAUGUAUUCAAAUAGCUGUUUGCUGUUGGCCCAAGUUAGACCGUUGCUGUCAACACUGUGCCUGUCCAGAAGUCAAUGACAGGCUCUCCAUCAAACGCCUUGGGGCAGUGGGGGCAGGAGCUGUGUCCCAGGGAAAUAGGCUGUUGGUUUGGUGCUGAAGCAACAAGAUCCACUUGUGACUCGCCCAGUCCUUAAGAGAAACUGGAGUUCUCAUUCGUGUGUUUAUUCACCCUUCCCCUGUUUAACGGGAACCCACUGUUUGCUGGAUUAAUGGGCACAUUAUUGUUCUGUGCCCUUUUGGAUUAAGGGCACUGUGCUCAUAGCCAUCAGGACAUGUAAAGAACCUCAGGACAGAUGUCCUCUGGGAACUGCCAGGGGAGGAUGCCUUUUGCUCAUCUUUUGGCUGGGGGAACUCCUAUUCACCCUUCAAAGCCCAGCUUGAAUGUCACCUCUUCUGUGAAAUAGAGCUGUUUCUCAACAAACAUGUUUCUCCUCAGGGCCUCUGCACUUUCUGUUCCCCCUGCCUGGAAGCUGUCUCCUCUGGAUAUCCCCAUGGCUCACUCCAUCGCUCCAUCCCGGUCUCUGCUCAAAAAGUUACUUUAUCAGAAAAGCUUUCCUCAACACUAUGAAAAACAGCAUCCCCAACUCUUCAGCCCCUUCCUCCACUUUAUUUUUCCUCACAUCCCUUAUCACAACCUGUAGCAUGUAUGUUUCCUCGCUUUACCAUCUGUCCUUCCCUCCAGAACGUAAGCUCUGUAGACACAGGCAGGGUGUGUGUUCACACCGGUCCUCAGGACACACUUGUUCUCACGGAUUGGCUGAAUCCUUCCACGACUGGAAUGUCACAUCUCUACUUGUUUUCUGUCCAUGGUGAUUUUUUUAACAGCUUUAUUGAGAUACAAUUUGUAUACAUACCAUAAAAUUCACCCAUUUAAAGAGUAAAAUUUAAUGGGUUUUAGUAUAUUGAUAAAGUUGUGCAACCAUCACUAAACUCUAACUUUAGAGCAUUUUUAUUACCCCAAAAGGAAACCCCAUACCCAGUAGCAGUCAAUCCCCAUUCCUUCCCGUCUCCAAGCCUCUGGCAACCGCUCAGCAACUCUUGUCGCUGUAGAUCUGCCUUUCCUGGCCACUUCAUAUAAAUGGAAUCAUACACCACGUGCUCUUUGUGACUGAGUUCUUUCAUUUCACAUAUAUUGUUUUUCAGGCUCAUCCAAGAUGUGACACGAAUCAGUAUUUGGUCUCUUUUAUUGCCAAAUCAUAUCCCAUUGUGUGGAUACAACACAUUUUGUUUAUCCCUUCACCAAUGGAUGGACAUUGGGUUAUUUCCCGCUUUUUGACCAUUACGAAUAAUGUUUCUGUGUACAUCACAUGCAAGUCCACGUGUGUAUAUGUGUUUCCAUUUCUCUUGGGUAGAUGCUGAGGAGUGGAAUUGCUGGGUCUCUGAUGGCUGUCUGUCAUUUCACCCAUGUAAUAGAUUUCUUCUUUCCAUGAUGAGUCUUUGAGCUGGCUGAAGGCUGGCUGGGGGUCUUAGUUAUCUAAGUAUUCCUGUAAGGCUUAAUUCAGAUGUUUGCAUAUGGUAGCUCCUUAUAAACAAUACUAGAGCAAAGGAAAGAGAACAAAGCCAAGCUGAAGCCAAGACCUCUUGAGAUAGGGCAGAAGCCAGGGAAAUUGCUGUGGGUUCUUUUCUUACUAGAAAGCUACACUUUGUCCUGUGGAUGAGGAGAGAGGUGUGUCUGUACUUAACAAGCACGUUUGCUCCCAAGUUGUCAAUAGUUUUGCUCAUAUCAUCUUUUAAAAGUUUUUUUCCUCUAAUAACAAACAUAAAUUGUACCCAUUAUGGAAAACUUGAUAAUACAGAACAAUAAAGAAGAAAAGGGACUGCCUAUAAUGCUACAUUCCCGACCUGGAUGCUUCCCAGAUAUCGUAGCAAAACCAUGUGAUCUUUCCGAACCUCAGGUUUUGAUAUGUGUAAAGUGGGAGAAAGAACAGAUCCCCUGGUGACCCCGGAAAUCUGGACUGAGGGUUAAGCAUGACAACCUGGGUGGAAGUGUCUGAUCGAUCAUGAUGGUAGCUUCUGUUUACUGACCACCUACUAUCUUCCAGGCCUUAAGUAACACACUUUAUCCAUCCAUCCACUCACCCACCCACCCAGCUUCUUUUGUCUAUCUAUCAUCUAUCUAUCGAUCGAUCGAUCUAUCUACCUAUCUAUCUAUCUGUCAUCAUCUCUAUUCUUCAUGGCAACCCCAUGAGGUAGACAUCAUUAUCUCCCUAUUACAGAUGAUGUAUCUUGCCCAGCUGGUGGCAGCCCUGGGGGAAACCCUGGUCUUUGUGAUUUCAGUUUCUUGUCGUUUCCCACCAAGCUAAAUAGUUUGAGUGCCUCUCACUGUGUUGGGCUCUCAAGAUACAAUGAUGAAUGAGAGACAAUGGUACAUAGUAAAGAAUAAAAGUUCUGGAGUCAGACAGACCUGUGUCACUCAUUCAUCUCUCUGUCCAUCCAUCCACCCAUCCAUCCAUCCAUUUAAAAAAUAAGUAUUGGGUACCUUUGAUGGGCCAAGCACCAAUUUGGACACUGGAAUCCUGGUCCCCUUCCUACAGUAGAUUAAACAAAUCAUCCAACCUCUUAAAGCCUCAGUUUUCUCAGUCGAAAAAUGAGGAGAAGAACAAUACCUAUGCUAUUGGCUUAUUGUGAGAAUUAAGCGAAACGUGCUAAACACUGUACUGGCAAUAGUGAAUUAACAAAUGUUGGCUGUUGUUAUCAGUAAUAGUAUUUGUAUUGGGUGAGAAGACGUGGGCCUGCCUUCCAGGAACUCACAGUGGGGGCUGAUGUCUCCCCUAUGGUCCUCUGCUUCCCUAACUCUUUCUCUAGCCCCAGUGGAGUGGGAUGCCCUGUUGCCAUGCCCCCAGCUGCAGCCCUGGUCCCUGGUCCCUCAGAGCUCCUAAGGGUGCAGCACUACGACUUGUCCCGCACUCACUGACCAGCUCUGCCAAGAAAGAGCGGAUGGGCGUCCCUGUUGGCAAGGAUCCAACCAGGCCAAGUGUUGGGGUUCAGAGGACAAAGGAAAGCCACGUUUCAAGGAAGUUCCUACUUCCUCAGAAUCAGUGUUCCUAUCUCUCUUGCUCACAUGAUCUAUUGGGACAUCCUUCACAUUCCAAAUGCAGCAUGUCCCAGAAUAAUGCCAGCAGUGGUCGGUCAUGUGAUGAAAUGUCUUUCUUUACAAAUUUACUGGCAUUGCCUCUGAGGAUGGGGGAUGGGAAGGAAGGAGCAGACUCCACAUUUGUGAGCAGAGUUGAGAUGGUAUAUUGACAUUAUUAUUCACCUUUUGAAAUCUCAGAUAACUGGUAUCUGAGUCAUGGCAAUCAUAUGAAUCCCUAUUAUGAGGGGAUUGGUGAGUUUAGAUGAAAUCUUGUAUGUGAAAGCACCUGGCUCUGCAAUGACCGUUUUUUCAUGCUGUAACUUAUUUCAUCUUCCUAUCGUUCAGCAAAGUAGACAAUUUUAUUACCCCCAUCUACAGGGAAAAGAAUUGAAGCUCAGAGAGGUCAUUUUACUUACCUAAGGCUGCACCGCUAAUAGGUGGGAGACCCAGUCUUCAAGCCCAGAUUUGUCUGAAUCCUGAGCUAUGUUCUGUGUGCUCUGGUCUUAACCAAUCACCCUUUCUUUAGCACAAGCAUCAGCGAUCUUUUCCCAUAAAGGGACAGAUAUUAGAUAUUUUCAGCUUUGUGGUCCAAUGUUCUGUUACAACCACUUAACUGUGCCAUUGUAGCAUGAAAGCAGCCACAGACAGUCUGUAAACCAGUGAACAUGGCUGUGUUCCAAUAAAACUUUAUUUGCAACCUCAGGAGGUGGGCUGGGCUGGGCCACAGGGCUGUCGUUUGCUGACCUCUGCUUUAGAGUAAGGCCUGGGCAUCUGGGCUGCACCAGGGAGGAGCUUGAGAAAUAAAUGCCUGCUGGCAAGAGCGCAGACUGUGCCUCUUCAGACCAUCUGCUUGUCGCUACCACGUCCCUCUUCAUAUGGAAGAUGGCUAUUAAAAAGGAAGUGCCAGCCUGCGAUUGCUUGUAGGCAAUCGAAGAAAGCAGGACGAUUAAAUGCAAGAGAUCGCCGUUAGGAGGGUCUCCUUCUUGUAGCCUUCCUGACGGAGGACAAGAGGACAAGAAUAGCCUGGGUGAUUUAUAAUGCUCAAGGAGCACUUGCUACUAAGGUUUCUUUCCUGCCCCCUGGAUUAUCUUGUCCUCAGCCACCCCUGUCCCUUAUCCCAAAGAAUUUGGACCUCUCCUGGCUUGGGGGCCACGUUCCUACUGUCUGCCCAGGGUGAGCUGGGGCGGUGCAAAUUCAGAAUACAUUUGCCUCGAGGCAGGAGCACCCUGGGGCUGCUCCAGACCUGUUUCUGGAACAGCAGGUGCAGCCGAUCCCUGACACCAAAAUACAUUCUCAAGGCGAGGGUGGACGGGCCAAGCCAGAGCAGGCCUCCCGCCCUCCGAGGACUCGGCUUCCUCCAGAGGACACAUUUGCCCCGAGGAUACCCAGAGUGUUAAUCCACUCACUCAGGAGAGCUAAGCGUGGGUCAGCAUUUUUUUGCUGGACUCGGACAGGGGCAUCCCCUCAGAGCUGCCCGGCCGGCGGGGCCACAGUAAAUCACUCACAAGAGAAGGCACUCCUUGGACGUCACGGCUGCUGGGGACUCCGCGGGUAUCGUAAAUCAGGAGCUCACUCCAUUUUACCUGUGCCUUCCAUGUGAAUGUCCAGGGGCCUCCACAGCCCAGCACGAGAAAAUGGUGGAGGAUAAAUUGAGCUGGGGCUGGGCAUCCAUGGCGGCUGUCUCUUUGUCAACUUAUUACCUGAGAUUUAUGCGUGAUGCAGCCAGGUCUGCUCGGUGACACAUUCUAAUUUAAUUAAAUUUCUGUUGGAUUGAUGUCUGAUCAAUCAAUAAUGUUAAUGUUUUUGCAAUUUGGAGAUUAAAGUGUGGUCAAGCCAUGGCAACCCCCCGGCAUCAUCCACUUACUUUAGAGCGUUCUUUGGGAGGAGGUUUGCCUGCCUGCUUUCUUUUUUCCCCCUCUCCCUUCCUCCCUUUCAUAUUUAAACGUUUAUUAAGUGCCUACAAUGUGGAGAUUUAACAAGAUGGAAAUAGGGCUUAGAGCGGGGGUUUGCAAACCUGAGUGUCUAUCAGAAUCUGCUGGAGGGCUUGUUGAGAUGCAGAUACCAGGGCCCCACCCCAGAGUUUCUGAUCUGAUAGGUCUGGGGUGGGGCCCAGGAAUCUGCAUUUCUAACAAGGCCCUGGUAAUGCUGAUGAGCACCACUGGCUUACAGGUUAGGGACUCAGCUCUGGUGUGACCUAGCUCAUCAGAUCCCACUUACAAGCUGGAUGGCUUCUGGCAAGUAACUUGAUUUCUCUAUGCCUCAGUUUCCUUACCCGUAAAAUGGGGAUAAUAACUGAGCCUAAUUCACAGGAUUGCCGCAGGCAACAUGUGAGAGUCCAUCAUACCUCUAAGACACCCCACACAGUGCCUGGGAUGCAGUAAGCACUCAAUACUUGUCACCUCUUUUGGAGGGGGAGAGCAAAGUAGCUGUGUUCCUGUCUGCCAGGAGCUCCCACCCGAAGGGCAUAUGAAUGUCGGGAUGAUAUGACGAUCAAGGCAGUGAGAGGCUCUGAUAAGUGGUAUUGAACCUAAUCGGGGAGGUCAGAGAGGGCCUCCUGAUGAAGUGGAGCUGAAAUUGGAGGGCAGGGGUAGGAGGGGACAAGGGAACAAAGAGUCUGGGGGGCUGGCAUCCUUGGAGGCCAUGUUAAUGGGCUGGACCAGUAUCCCUAAGUCCAGUGGGAAGACAAUGGAGUAUUUUAAACAGAGGAGGCAACAGGACCAUAUACAAAUGUUGAAAAGGUCUUUCCAGCUACAGUUUAGGGGAAUGGCUUGCAUUGUAGCGAGAAUGGAUAUACCGAGGGCGUGGACGGAAUUAGGAAAUCUGACUCCCCAAUGGUCCCUUCUCCAAAAUUGGUGGAUUUGAAAUGGAUAUGAAAUAUCCUGUCCCCAUCGAAUGAUACAAUUCAUCCCUGUGGCGUGAAAGACGCCACGCUAAGUGGUCAUUGGAGACUCUGAAGAAUUAGAAUACACACCAUCUAUUCUCAAGGAUUUUGCUGUCUAACAUCAUACUCGCCAUCAUACAAGUGCAAAUCAGCACACGCAUUCAAAAGUCUUUCCUGACAACCAACUGUUGGACCAUAUCAGUAGGUUGAAAGGACCAACCUGAAGAAGACUGACCUUUGCCUCCAGAGUCUCCGAGCACGACACCCCACACCCCUCACCCCUCAGUUAGCAGUGCCAAAAUGGAUGGGAGAUGGUGAGUCCAAAGGGAGUGAGGGCCAGAGGCAUCCCAAACCCUCUUGCUCCAGGAACGGUCAUCCUGUGUCUCCUCAGAGAUUGUGGAGGCCUGAAGUAGGAGGGCUGAACUCGCCUGGAGGGCCCUCAAAGCAAGAAAACCUCUUCACCCCUUUUAGUAUAACUCCCAGCCUUGGAAUUCUCAUUUUGGGUAACAGACUCAUAUACUCAUUCAGUAAUCCCUUUAUUCAACAAGGAAGGCAUCACAGAGGGGUACAGCUUUGCCAAGUCCCAGAGAUCUGCAGAACGAUGGAUAUCUAGGGGCUGGCCCAGUGGCGUAGUGGUUAAGUUCAUGUGCUCCACUUCGGUGGCCUGGGGUUCACAGGUUCAGAUCCUGGGCGUGGACCUAGCACUGCUCGUCAAGCCAUGCUGAGGUGGCGUCCCACAUAAAAUAGAGGAAGAUGGGCACAGAUGUUAGCCCAGUGACAAUCUUCCUCAAGCAAAAACAGGGAGAUUGGCCACAGAUGUUAGAUCAGGGCCAAUCUUCCUCACACACACACAGAUGAAUAUCUGCAAAUUUCUGACCAGAAUAAUAAUUGUUAAGGCUGCCAACACAUAUUGAACAUUUUCUCCAUGAGAGGUACCACAUGUAGCCUUUUACUAUAUCACUCCAUUUAUCCUUCACAGCACCUAUUGGAGACAGAAGCUCUUAUAGCUCACACUUUGCUGGAAAGAAAAUUGAAGAUCAGAGAUAUCGAGUAAGUUGGCUAAGGCCACACAGCUAGUCAUAAUGGACCUAAAACAUAAACAUAGCUCAGUCUGACUAAAAAUUAUUAGUACAUGUUUUCAAGACCCAUUCUGCCAUCAUUUCCUCAUCCUGAUAAUUAAGGAAAGGUUAGGCACCCGUGGAAUGAUUGCUAAGGACCUUCUGGUGGCUGUUGAUCUAUCAGAUGUUGAUUAAUCAGCAUCUGUGGGACUUGAAUGGUUAUCCAGCUACAAAUUCACCUAAAAUUGUGAUAAACGAGGCCACACGUCUCCUGGCUGAGAUUUUUUCCCAUACCUUUUAAGCCAUUUCUACACGAUUUCCUUGAACUCCCAGUCUAGAGCCCCUUUUAAAAAGCCCUUCAUCUUACUUGAGCCAUAGUGGCAAGGAGGUCCCGAGCCUGCCUUUGUUGAACUACUUACUAUCUUCAGUAACCUGUUCUUGAACUUGCUGGAAAUCAGGGUCAGGGGCUAGUUCACUUUUGGGAGCCCACCUUGACCCUUUCAGAAACCUUGAACAGCACUUCCCUGUGACCCGUCAUGUAACUUGCUUCCUACUCCAGUGGUUGCCGUGUUCGAUGGUGCCAUUGCCCACGUACCCUGUAGCGCUGAAUUUAUUUAGAGCAAAAUUUCCAAAAUGUCAGCCUUGGAAUGAGCCUACUCUGUAGACAGGGGUUCUCUGGUUCUGCACGGUGUUUUGAAAAAAUUUUGAAUUCUUUGUUGGCGUUUGAAAAUCUUGGCAAUUCCGGUAUAAAAUCACUUAGGAUCUGGUUUGUCUUGAAAAGUCUAACGAUGGGACAGCCCCUUUCUGCAUCAGCUGUGGUCUCCAGCUCUCUGCUCUCUGUGUCCUCUCACUUAGCAACACAAGGCCACGUCUACACACACCUCACUCUUGUAAUUAACCUGCCUGGUCCCAGUAGUCAUAUGAGCCGUUACUCUGGUGUAAGCAGUGACACUGCCUUCUUAUUCCAAAAUUAAUGCUCAAUUCAUUCUUAACAAUGUAUGCUUGAUCCUUUCCAGCGUUAGAUCUUGGUCCUCAGGGCAGAAGGCAGAAACAAAAUAAGAGUGGAGAACUUCUGCUUUCUUGCUGUCAUCUGUUCGGACUGCAUCAUCUGCUCCGAUCCCUUCCUUUUCCUUCUUGAUCCAAACAUAGCUCAAAAAGCCCUUUUGAAGGUCCUUCGCGUUUUUUCGCAAGCCUCAGCUCUUUCUAGGGUUUUGUCUCCUAACACUCUUCUUACAGAAGCAAUGUCAGUUUGUAUUUGCUUUAGGGUGAGAUGGUGCCUAAUAAAACAACACACCUGCAAAAACAACUAAAUUAGAAAUACAGCCACGUUUCCCAGUUCACGGUUGGAUCUACUGCAUCAAAAAAAAAAUGUUAAUGCAAUUCAGAAAAAAAUCUUAAUAAAUAAAUGUUAAGAAAUUUCCCCAAAAAAAAGGCCUGAAAGUUUUGAGAAAUUCAUGUAUUUACAUAUCCAGUGCCAACCUGGGUAUCGAAUGUGCCCACCUAGCCUGACUCAUAGAAGGUCCAGGAAGGGUUUGGCUGACCGAGAUGCUGUAUGCCAAACUUAACCCUAACCAGAAGCUUACAGCAUGCUCAGUUCCAGUUUCCGUAAUGCACAGGGCCCGGUGAGUAUUUUGGCAUGGUAACUGGAGAACGUUGAUGUUAUCUGCAGCACAAGUUUGCCAUAAUUCAUAUAAGACAUGGAGUUUUCAAAUCAAAUUUUCAUUGGAUGUUAAUGCUAUCUACUCCUGCUGUCUUAAAACAGGGCUGGAAGGGAGCUUUCAGAGUGACAAGAUAAGUUGGCAUUUAACAAGAGCAGCAAGAGUGAUCUUAUUAAAAUGUAAAUCAGAUCAUAUCAUUACCUUGCUUAAAAACACCCAGAACCUUCCACUGCCUGUAGAUUGAAGUCUAACUCCUUAUCAUGGCCCUUGGCCCGACACGAGCAGGCUCUGGCUUCUCCUGAGUCCAUCUCUGGCCGCCUCUGCCUUGAUCUUUUCUUUCCAGACACAGGCACUUGCUCUCUUUCUUAAACAAACCAAGCUGUUCCCACCUCCACUCUUUGCAUCUGCCAUUCCUCCUGCUCAGAUGGUUCUCCCCGACCUGAUGGGGCUGCUGUUCUUACUGCACUGAAGACUGCCAUCCCAUUGACUAAAGUAUUCAUCGCCUGGAGGGGGCCUUCUCUGAGCACCCUGAUUACAGCAGCCCUACCUUCGCCACUCUCUAAUCCUUACCCUCAUUUACGUGUCUUCAUAACACUAAGCAAUACCCCAAAACAUGUAUUUUU
rnacentral:lncRNA from 1 species